CACCUCCCAAAGGCAUCCUUCGUUCCAGAGC
rnacentral:piRNA from 1 species